rnacentral:rRNA from 1 species
UGGGGAAUAUUGGACAAUGGGGGGAACCCUGAUCCAGCCAUGCCGCGUGUGUGAAGAAGGCCUUAUGGUUGUAAAGCACUUUAAGCGAGGAGGAGGCUCUCUUGGUUAAUACCUAAGAAGAGUGGACGUUACUCGCAGCAUAAGCACCGGCUAACGCUGUGCCAGCAGCCGCGGUAAUACAGAGGGUGCGAGCGUUACUCGGAUUUACUGGGCGUAAAGCGUGCGUAGGCGGCUUUUUAAGUCGGAUGUGAAAUCCCCGAGCUUAACUUGGGAAUUGCAUUCGAUACUGGGAAGCUAGAGUAUGGGAGAGGAUGGUAGAAUUCCAGGUGUAGCGGUGAAAUGCGUAGAGAUCUGGAGGAAUACCGAUGGCGAAGGCAGCCAUCUGGCCUAAUACUGACGCUGAGGUACGAAAGCAUGGGGAGCAAACAGG